ACCGACAUCAGCGAUUCAUUCUGCGAACCGUGGCCGACCGCCAGAUAAGCGUUCAUACCCAGUUCGCGCAUUUGCUGUUCGCCGAUCACGCGGGUAAUGACAUUUUUGCUGUAGCUGUCGGCCAACUGGCGCGCCUGUGACGCCAGGUAGGCGGCGUUACAGAUAUUGGGCGGCAUGUUGCCGAGAUCUUUCGC
rnacentral:antisense_RNA from 1 species